AUUGAACGCUGGCAGCAGGCCUAACACAUGCAAGUCGAACGAGUGGCGGACGGGUGAGUAAUGUCUGGGAAACUGCCUGAUGGGGGGGGAUAACUUCUGGCAACGUUAGAUUAUACCUCCUACCAUCGUUUGUGCCAAGAUGGGAUUAGCUAGUAGGUGGGGUAAAGGCUCAUCUAGGCGACUAUCCCUAGCUGGUAUGAGAAGAUGACCAGCCACACUGGAACUGAGACACGGUCCAGACUCCUACGGGAGGCAGCAGUGGGGAAUAUUGCACAAUGGGCGCAAGCCUGAUGCAGCCAUGCCGCGUGUAUGAAGAAGGCCUUCGGGUUGUAAAGUACUUUCAGCGGGGAGGCGUUACCCGCAGAAGAAGCACCGGCUAACUCCGUGCCAGCAGCCGCGGUAAUAC
rnacentral:rRNA from 1 species